UACCUCGUUGGCUGGAAGGAUUUCCUUCCAGUUGACGAGGUACAUGUACCUCGUCGACCGGAAGGAUUCCCUUCCAGUCGACCGGCGAGGUACAUGUACCCCGCCGGCUGGAAGGGUUUCCUUCCAGUUGACGAGGUACAUGUACCUCGUCGACCGGAAGGAUUCCCUUCCAGUCGACGAGGUA
rnacentral:miRNA from 1 species